rnacentral:rRNA from 1 species
GACGUAGGGCGCGAGCGUUGUCCGGAUUUAUUGGGCGUAAAGAGCUUGUAGGCGGCUCGUCACGUCGGGUGUGAAAACUCGGGGCUUAACCCCGAGCCUGCUUCUGAUACGGGCAGACUAGAGGUAUGCAGGGGAGAACGGAAUUCCUGGUGUAGCGGUGAAAUGCGCAGAUAUCAGGAGGAACACCGGUGGCGAAGGCGGUUCUCUGGGCAUUACCUGACGCUGAGGAGCGAAAGUGUGGGGAGCGAACAGG